UGCUCCUUGCAAUCUAAGAAAAAUAAAUAUUCAAGUCAUUUCUGGUCAAAGGUCUGGGUAUCAACUACUCCCUCCGUCCGGAAUUACUUGUCAUCGAAAUGGAUGUAUCUAGAUGUGUUUUAGUUCUAGAUACAUCAAUUUUCAUCCAUUUCGAUGACAAGUAAUUCCGGACGGAGAGAGUUUGUGUUUGUGUCUACAAGCUUUUGACUUUUUUGUCCGGUCUAUUGUUUAUUUGCAAUGUUGGAAACUCUUGCCAUUUCUUCUGAAUUUUUUUUGUUUGAUCGUACUCUCAAUAUACUCCAUAUUAACUCUAUAUUGCAGAAUUUUUGAACAAUUAGUACUGCACCAGCGGUAAUCUGCAGGGAAGGCAAGGAUAACUAGAUUAAACAUUUCACAAGAUCCUCCCAAUUAUAGGCACAAUCUCCUUUUCAAGAUAUUAUGAGUGGUUGACUACCGGAGAUUAUCAGAUGGAAAGAUGGUUGUAUGAUCUUCGAGGCUGCUGCUUCUUUGUUAUGUCGGUCGAGGCUGUAUGAUCUCUGCAGGUUGCUGCUUGUUUGUUCUGCCAGUGGAGGUCACCGCCGUGUCUCCGCCCAGUCCGCAAUGUAUCGUGUGAAGGUGGGAUUAACAGGAUACAUACCCUGCCGCUUCAUAUUCUACAGCGAGCAGAGCAGGCCCAGGAAAACCUUUCGUGGGCCGGACACCGAGCAGUCCAGGACAGUAAAACCUUAAAUACUUUGUAGAUACUGUUAGACAUGCACAUAUUUUUUGGCUAA